UACGUAGGGGGCAAGCGUUGUUCGGAAUUACUGGGCGUAAAGGGCGCGGUAGGCGGCACAGCAAGUCGGGAGUGAAAGCCCGGGGCUCAACCCCGGAACUGCUUUCGAAACUGCUGAGCUAGAGUGCGGAAGAGGCAACUGGAAUUCCCAGUGUAGCGGUGAAAUGCGUAGAUAUUGGGAAGAACACCGGAGGCGAAGGCGGGGUUGCUGGCCGGACACUGGACGCUGAGGCGGCCGAAAGCCAGGGGAGCGAAGCGGGAUUGAAGAAACCCCGGUGGUAGUCCA
rnacentral:rRNA from 1 species